rnacentral:rRNA from 1 species
GACGGAGGGUGCAAGCGUUGCUCGGAAUCAUUGGGCGUAAAGGGUGCGUAGGCGGCUUUUUAAGUCUGACGUGAAAGCCCAAGGUUCAGCCUUGGAAGUGCGCUAGAAACUGAAAGGCUAGAGUGCCGGAGGGGAGAGUGGAAUUCCUGGUGUAGCGGUGAAAUGCGUAGAUAUCAGGAGGAAUACCGGUGGCGAAAGCGACUCUCUGGACGGUAACUGACGCUGAGGCACGACAGCGUGGGGAGCAAACAGG